CAAGAAAUGUAUGACCGAAACUAACACAUACAAAAUGAUUUUACUAACACACUUGCAACAUUUUUCUUUAAAAAUUGCAAAAAAAAUAGUUAAUGGAUAAUUCCAUCAAUAAUGACGGUCAAAUGACCGGUAAAAUGACUGUUGAUGUACGCAAUGUGUGAUAUAGGGUUUCAUUUGCAUAUGAAAGAGUGAAACAACUACAUUUGACUGUUACUGUGUUUUCCGUCGCAUAAAUUAAUUAUUUCAGUGAAAGCCAAAGAUCAAGGAGGAAAAAAUUAAAAAAAUUGAGACUAACAUUAUUAAAAAUAAAGAGAUUUAUUAUAAUUUAAAAACGGUGCAGGAAGUGGAGCUGAGAAUAUACACUUCGGAGUUUAAUCUAUUUGUGACAAUUUAUUUCCACAAAUUAAAAGGAGCAUAGGAGGAUUUUACAUUCUGUGAGGUAUGUAAAAUGGUGAAAUGAUAGUUAAUUUAUGUAUAUUAAUAAAAUUAAAAAUAUAUGUCUUAAAAUGUUAA